UACGUAGGGGGCGAGCGUUGUCCGGAAUUAUUGGGCGUAAAGAGCUCGUAGGCGGCUUGUCACGUCGGGUGUGAAAGCCCGGGGCUUAACCCCGGGUCUGCAUUCGAUACGGGCUAGCUAGAGUGUGGUAGGGGAGAUCGGAAUUCCUGGUGUAGCGGUGAAAUGCGCAGAUAUCAGGAGGAACACCGGUGGCGAAGGCGGAUCUCUGGGCCGGUACUGACGCUGAGGAGCGAAAGCGUGGGGAGCGAACAGG
rnacentral:rRNA from 1 species